ensembl:snoRNA small nucleolar RNA, H/ACA box 14B
UUGCAUUCUUAAACCCUCUUGGUAGCUUCGCUUUAAAGGCUUUCAAGAUAUGAGUGAAUGCUACAGAAAUUGCAGGGGAGUCCAAAGGGCUGCGCUUCUCACGUGGCUCAGUCCUAUUUCAUACCUGCGACAUGU